rnacentral:rRNA from 1 species
CCUACGGGAGGCAGCAGUGGGGAAUAUUGCGCAAUGGGCGAAAGCCUGACGCAGCGACGCCGCGUGAGGGAUGAAGGUCUUCGGAUCGUAAACCUCUGUCAGCAGGGAAGAACGGUCACUGUGCUAAUCAGCAGUGAAUUGACGGUACCUGCAAAGGAAGCACCGGCUAACUCCGUGCCAGCAGCCGCGGUAAUACGGAGGGUGCGAGCGUUAAUCGGAAUUACUGGGCGUAAAGCGCUCGUAGGCGGUAUGUCAAGUCAAGGGUGAAAUCCCCGCGCUCAACGUGGGAACUGCCUUUGAAACUGGCAAACUGGAGUGUGUGAGAGGAUAGUGGAAUUCCAGGUGAAGGAGUGAAAGCCGUAGAUAUCUGGAGGAACAUCAGUGGCGAAGGCGACUAUCUGGCACAUAACUGACGCUGAGGAGCGAAAGCGUGGGUAGCAAACAGGAUUAGAUACCCCAGUAGUC